rnacentral:lncRNA from 1 species
CCGGGACGCCCCGCCCGGCCCCCGCGCCCCUUCCCCUCAGGGCCGCGGCGGGAUUGUCCCUCCGUGAGGCAGCGACGCCCCCUCGCCGCGGGCGGGGAGGGCUGACGGGGACGGGACUGUCCCCGCGGCCGCCCGCCUUCCCCCCCCGGGCGAAGGGUCCCCGCGGCGGGUCCCGCCGCCGCUUUCAGGGCCGUGUUUGUUGGGGCCGUGGGCACGGCUGACAUUUGCCAUGCGCAAACAACAUGUACUUCAGCAAACAAUUCAACCUUUCCGCAUCCCCGCAGCCUGCUGGAAACUUGAUGGGUGAGCCUUUUCCAGCUGCCCACAAAGCGCUCUGCUCCAGCUGCCCUUCCUCCAGCGGCGCUUCUCACCCAGCAGCGAGUCCCUUCCCCUCUGAAGAUGGCACCGUUUGAAAGAGUAGAAGAGAGCAGUCUUCUCAGCUAUACCCGAGAUGUCACCCGUGUGGCUGCAACUCUGAUGCUGUCUAGGAAUAUAGAUGACCCCCCACUACUCCAGCCAGAGCAGAUAUAUCUGAGCAAUUUAGCAAUGAUGUGACAAAUAAGUGGAAGGCGUUGAGAAAGUAUUAUAUAAAUUUUUAGUUUGUAUUUAAGAUGGUUUCUACACACUUGUGUUCCAUAAGCUCAGGAAAAGUACACUUUUCCUGUCUGCAAAUACAGGAAUAAGCCAUUAUUUCAAUUUAUUGCUGUGGUGAUAGGAUUAACACUUUGAUGAAAAAAGAAAAAAAUCAUACAGGGCAAUUGGACCCCUGCCUUGUUAGUGUGGCGACUGAAAUCGGGGUGGCCCAAUGCAGACCACUGAUUAUGCUGCUAGCCAAUAUAUUUAGCAUUUGUACUGAUUAAGAACUGAUUUAAUUCUAAACCAGUUGCUGCUGCACUCCAUGCUUUAUGACUUAAAGGUUUUAUUUACACUGCACAAAGAAAAGAUGCCAGUAGAAGAUUAUUGUUGAGGCUUCAGAAUCAAGUGCUUAAAAAUUUCAAAAAGGUGACACCAAUUUUAAGCACUCUUAAAUAAUAUCCAUGGAGUGCUUGAGUGCUUGAUUCAGGACUUUUGCAGGGCUAUCAAUGGACCACGAGUGCAAAAAGAGCAGCCAACACCUUCCAAAU